rnacentral:tRNA from 1 species
GUCUCAGUAGUAUAAUUAUUACAGUGGUCUUGUAAACCACCAAUGGAAAUAAAUUUCCAUAAGACA